UACGUAGGGUGCAAGCGUUAAUCGGAAUUACUGGGCGUAAAGCGUGCGCAGGCGGUGAUGUAAGACAGGUGUGAAAUCCCCGGGCUUAACCUGGGAACUGCAUUUGUGACUGCAUCGCUGGAGUGCGGCAGAGGGGGAUGGAAUUCCGCGUGUAGCAGUGAAAUGCGUAGAUAUCCGGAAGAACACCAAAGGCGAAGGCAGCAUCCUGGGAAGUACCUGACGCUCAGAUGCGAAAGCCAGGGGAGCGAACGGG
rnacentral:rRNA from 1 species